CCUGGUGGCGAGUGGCGAACGGGUGAGUAAUGCAUCGGAACGUGCCAUUGAGUGGGGGAUAACGUAGCGAAAGUUGCGCUAAUACCGCAUAUUCUGUGAGCAGGAAAGCAGGGGACCGCAAGGCCUUGCGCUCUUUGAGCGGCCGAUGUCAGAUUAGCUAGUUGGUGAGGUAACGGCUUACCAAGGCGACGAUCUGUAGCGGGUCUGAGAGGAUGAUCCGCCACACUGGAACUGAGACACGGUCCAGACUCCUACGGGAGGCAGCAGUGGGGAAUUUUGGACAAUGGGCGCAAGCCUGAUCCAGCCAUGCCGCGUGAGUGAAGAAGGCCUUCGGGUUGUAAAGCUCUUUCGGCCGGGAAGAAAUCGCAUGGGCCAAUACCCUGUGUGGAUGACGGUACCGGAAUAAGAAGCACCGGCUAACUACGUGCCAGCAGCCGCGGUAAUACGUAGGGUGCGAGCGUUAAUCGGAAUUACUGGGCGUAAAGCGUGCGCAGGCGGUUUUGUAAGACAGGCGUGAAAUCCCCGGGCUUAACCUGGGAACUGCGCUUGUGACUGCAAGGCUAGAGUACGGCAGAGGGGGGUGGAAUUCCACGUGUAGCAGUGAAAUGCGUAGAGAUG
rnacentral:rRNA from 2 species